CAGCAGCCGCGGUAAUACGUAGGGUGCAAGCGUUAAUCGGAAUUACUGGGCGUAAAGCGUGCGUAGGCGGCUUCUUAAGUCGGAUGUGAAAUCCCUGAGCUUAACUUAGGAAUUGCAUUCGAUACUGGGAAGCUAGAGUAUGGGAGAGGAUGGUAGAAUUCCAGGUGUAGCGGUGAAAUGCGUAGAGAUCUGGAGGAAUACCGAUGGCGAAGGCAGCCAUCUGGCCUAAUACUGACGCUGAGGUACGAAAGCAUGGGGAGCAAACAGGAUUAGAUACCCCAGUAGUCCCUGUCUCUUAUAC
rnacentral:rRNA from 1 species